GCAAACGGCAGGAGGCAGAAGUUGUCCCAGACCAGGAUUCAGCAGAUGAAGAAAGGUUCCUCUGGUCCUCCACACAGGAGUUCAGCCCUGAACCAGGGGAAUCCAGACAAGAGGAGGUUGAGGCGAGGGGAGACGGUGGAAGUCAGCAGCCCCUCAGCAAGCCUGGAGGCCGGGCCCCGGCUGAGAGAGCGGCCCCUGGGUCGCUGUCACACCCUGGACUCAGGAGAACAAACACCGGAGCAGCCGGAGCAGCCGGAGCAGCCGGAGCCGACGCAAACUCCCCAAACAACUCCGACGCCCGGGGUCGGUGCACAGCCUGACACCGACGAUACGCACUCCGCUGACGACUCUAACUGCAGCGGCGGCGGCGAGGCUUCCCCACCCUCGCCGUACAAUGUGCCUCCUACACACACCUCAACCAAUGACCGUGAGUCACGUGACCCCACCGAGCCGUCCGAGACCAGCCGUCAGAGUCCCUGCCCUCUAAAUGGAGAGCUGGAGUCGUCCGGCGACCGGACUCAUACCGAUAAGGAGGCUUUGCAGUCAGAAGGCGAAGACGGAGACUCCAGUCCCACCUGCCCCGCUGACCUCCACCCCACAAUCCAGGCUGACGGAGGCGAUCAGAGAGACGCCACCCAAACACCAGAGACGAGUCGAAUCACAGAGGCGGCGACUGAAAUGGAGGCGCUGUGAGGAUUUGUGAUGAUGGAGGAGUCGCACAAAAACUGAAAGUCUGCCAAAAGCUCUGCGUCCUUAAAACAGCAGCAUUUCACUGUGAGCGGUGAGCGGAUGUUGUGACGGUAACCUGAACGGACUUCCUGCAGUCUGAAGAGGUCUGCGGCCUCAGUGGCUCCUCCUCCUCCUCCUCUCGCCUGAGUUUAAAGCACUUUUUUCUUCUUCAAGCCUUCAAAAGAAAGAAAAAGGGAUGCAAAUGGACGUUAUUUUGGUUGUUGCUUUAGUUUUGUUUCGAGUGUCUCGACUGUAGCUGUGAUCCCGAGCAGCAGACUUCAUUUUUUGUUUUUCUUUUACUUGAAUACUAGAUGUUUGUUGGCUCUUCCUUCAGCACCGUAUUACUCCACUUAUAUUUUUAUUGGGAUAGUUUUAUGUUAUUUAUGACCUUAGUUGAUGGUCGUGUGUUCAGAGAGGUUCGGCUUCUCCUGAACGUUAGAAUGUGUUUUUUCUCCACAUAGAGCAAGUUAAAGGAUCGCAGAGCUGGUUUUUAUAGCCGUUAAUAGCAAAUCAUAUAUUUUACCACCCUGCUAUUUUCAAAAUCAUUUCCCUCCUUUCAACCAUUGAUUUUAGUUUAUUUCUGAGAGAAUCAGCUUGCGGAGACUUAAAACCUGCUGCAGGUAGAUGAGCCCUCACAGCCAGAGUUACAUUAUCACUGCAAGAGUAUAUUUAACACAGGAGUGUCCUGACCAAGAAAGCUGCACAUGGAACAAAUCGGUUAAAAAAUACCUGAUAAAAAUCAAAAGAAUACUAAAAGGUCACCAUAAUAAAAGAAAUUAAAUAGCCGUAAACAAUACCAACCCUUUAUGAUGCAUUCAAGGACACUGACAACAAAAAAUGACUAACGUAAUAUGAAAAAUGAUGAACGUGAACGAAAUGAACGUGUUUGUUUCAUCGCAUUUCAACGUGUUACUUUUCUGCAGUCUGCUCGGUCCAAGCAUCCUUGAACGCACCACGAAGGGAAAGUCUUAAAAACAGCCGCUGUAAAGAUUUUGACAAGUGACAAGAAAAGACUGGAGGAUAAUUUGUAUUAGCGAUUUAGUUUUUAAAGAAAAAUUAUUGUCCAAAAUAAAAAAGGUUCCCAGCAAAUUGUAGUUAACAAUAGAGAUUAAAAUUAUUAGCUGAUCAAUCAUUUAGUCGACCACCGGAAAAGAAGCGGCUGCUUUUCUCUGUUUUAUAAAAAUUUAAAAUGAAUAUCUGUACGUUUCAGACUGUUGAACAUAAAGUUUUUAUUUUGGGAUCUGGGAAAUUGUGAUGGACAUUUUUACUAUUUUCUGCCAUUUAAUAAACAAUUAAUUGAUUAAAAGAGAAAAUAAUUGGCAGAAGAAUUGAUAUUUAGUAUUUGAUUUUUAGUUAAAAACAAAUAAAUUAGAUGAACUUAGUUUUACAUGAAGCAGCUGGUCAGAUAUAAUGCAGAACAGUAAAAUGCAUUAAGUUGGUCAAUAUGAUGAUCUCACAUUCACUUUUAAGAUGGAGUAUUGAUUAUAUAAUUCAUUAUUGAUGGUUUCAAGUUGUUUUUUCUGAAAUGAACUGAACGCAUCGGCAGCCGGCAGGUAGAUCGAGCUGAUUAUGUAAAACAUACAGAAGUUAAUGAGCAAAAUAAAACAUGCAAAACCUCCAGUUUGGUCCUUUAACGUCAGAAGAUGUUUCAUCUUAUUUAAAACAGCUACGUUAGGAUAUACGAGCUGCAGUACUGUAAAGUGUCCCCAUCAGUGUUACUGUUCACACUAACGUCGCGUGUCCACUUCACGUAGUGUGUUUGAUUGCAGACCGUUUCGGUGAGGAUGAAGCUUCGGUUCAAACUGACCUCGACCUCUUUGGGCCUCUGUUCUUUGAGUGUUGGUCGGCGUUUGUUUCCACUCUCCUCCGAUGUGACAGGACUGACUGAGUCUUUGUGUUUCAGUG